rnacentral:rRNA from 1 species
GACGAACGCUGGCGGCGUGCUUAACACAUGCAAGUCGAACGGUAAGGCUCCAGCUUGCUGGGGUACACGAGUGGCGAACGGGUGAGUAACACGUGGGGGACCUGCCCUGCACUUCGGGGUAUGCCUUGGGAACUGGGUCUAAUACCGGAUAGGACAGCACCGAGCGGGUGGGGUGGAAAGUUUUUGCGGUGUGGGUUGGGCCGGCGGCCGAUCAGCUUGUUGGUGGGGUAGUGGGCUACGAAGGCGGAGACGGGUGGCCGGCCGGAGAGGGGGGACGGCCACAUUGGUACUGAGACACGGCGCAGACUCCUACGGUAGGCAGCAGUGGGGAGUCUUGCACAAUGAGCGGAAGCCUGAUGCAGCGACGCCGCGUGCGGGAUGACGGCCUUCGGGUUGUAAACUCCUUUCUCCGUCGACGAAGGGUUUCUGACGGUAGAUGGAGAAGAAGCACCGGCUAACUACGUG